rnacentral:rRNA from 1 species
ACAUGCCUACAACAUAGCAUUAAUGCAUGAGAUCCCAUUAGAAAUAUGCAGUUAAGCACACUCAAGCUAGAGUAGUACUGAGAUGGGUGACCGCCCGAGAAGUCCUAGUAUUUUACAUGCC